CAGAAGGAAUUAAGAUCUCAAUUCCUCACUGAAACCCAGAAAGAAAAGACUCUUCAUUAUCCCUGUAUUCUGGUAAUUUCAUCUUUGACACUAUAUUUGACACAAAGAAAGAAACUUGUUUAAGAUUUUCUGCAGAAGAGAGGUACAAAGGAGUUGAAAGCCAACUAAGGUGGGCAUAAACGUCGAAAAAUCUGCUUCAACUUCAAAUGUGCAAACUGCUGGAGAAGCUGUAACAUUGUGUUUUGCAUGCUUAUUCUUGAAAAUGUACUUGACAUUGCUGUAUAGAUUAUACAUUUACCCAUAACUUUGUAUAAUUCAGAGUUACCCAUCUAGAGCAAAUAUAUCCUUUAUCUUAUGCAAUCAUGAUUUAAGAGAUUUUCAGUGUGAUUCCUAUGAUUUUCCACAGUUGUUGAUUCUGCAAAGCCCUCAGAUAGAUUGCAACUUACCAUGUGUAUGUGUAAAGGUAGUUCUCCCCAUGACUUCAUUAUGUAAGAAUCAGCUCCUUCCUGACUUUAUAGACAGCAAGAACUUUUGAGCAUAUAAUUUUCAGUUGGUUAUAGAAAUAAUUUUUAAAAAUUGU